AAUGGAGGAAACUCUGAUGCAGCGAUGCCGCGUGAGUGAAGAAGGCCCUUGGGUUGUAAAGCUCUUUCGUCGGGGAAGAAAAUGACUGUACCCGAAUAAGAAGGUCCGGCUAACUUCGUGCCGGCAGCCGCGGUAAUACGAAGGGACCUAGCGUAGUUCGGAAUUACUGGGCUUAAAGAGUUCGUACGUGGUUGAAAAAGUUGGUGGUGAAAUCCCAGAGCUUAACUCUGGAACUGCCAUCAAAACUUUUCAGCUAGAGUAUGAUAGAGGAAAGCAGAAUUUCUAGUGUAGAGGUGAAAUUCGUAGAUAUUAGAAAGAAUACCAAUUGCGAAGGCAGCUUUCUGGAUCAUUACUGACACUGAGGAACGAAAGCAUGGGUAGCGAAGAGGAUU
rnacentral:rRNA from 1 species